UGUAUGCUCCAGGCAUGUGCUAGAGUCCAAGAAUACGCCAUAAUCAACCAGGCAAGGUUCCUGCCUUGGAUGUCACAAUCCGGUCAAGGGGAGAGACACAGGUCAUCACAAUACCAGCCUGUGAGCAUUUCCACUCGUCUGCCAAGGCAGAGACAGCCCCAUCCAGAAGCAAGAAUGAGACCUCGGGGCCCUGGCGCCCUUGAGCCAACCCCAUCUCUGUUCUCACAACUUGCCUUGCCUGACCUCUGGAGAAAAACUUCAGAAAAUAUCACCCUUUCUUCCCACCUGCUCCCGCUGGCCAAAAUCCCCAUCAAAGCCUGGCUUCA
rnacentral:lncRNA from 10 species